rnacentral:misc_RNA from 1 species
CCGCUCCCUCUCAUGCUCACAUCACGGCGGUCGCCUCGAUGCCGCUUCUCUAUCGGACCCGAUGUCACACGCUUUCACGCCGGAAGCGAGGAGCCUCACCGUGAACGAGAUGGUGCCCUGCGGCGAGAGGGGCGACUUGCAGGUCCUCUCCGGCCGCAGCACCACGGGCGCCAUCUCCAUGACGAACCAGCCGCACACCCCCAUCACCGUCGCAACAUGCUACAGUGAGGUAGGAGGAGGAAGGUUUGACGCAUUCGAAGGGCUUUGUUAUGCCGGCGUACCAGAAUCCUUACCGCUACAACGCGUACAGCACUGUCUUCGUCAUCGCGCACAAGAACGCGUGGGACACACACACACACACACGCGCGAGAACACUUUGAGCCGGCAACAGCGAAAGACACGUGCACACGCCGAGGAAGCGAAAAAGAAGUGUGGCGCUCACAACUGUUUCGAAAAGCGACGAAACCAGCUUGAACGACUUCUCUGCUCUAUCUCUCUCAUCGUAAUGGGCCCAUGCGAGAGACCAUUCACACUCAUGCGUAUGUCACGCUCUCGGCGGUGCGUGUUGGAUGUGGCCCUAGAUGGUUUUGGCAACUUUGGGGUUUGUGGUCAUCGUUCUUCUUACGCCGUUUCGUUGAUUGUUGUCGUUUCAGGCCUAUCCUCGAUCCUUUCCCAGCCUCCACGCCUGCGGUCACCACCCUCUCCCAUCGCGGUGCUGGAAGCGAUCUUUCUCCCCCGCCAAUCUCCUCUGCUGCAUCACCAUCUUUUUCUUUAUUUUCUAUCUUUUCGCAUCGUUUCAGGAGUACUUAAUGACUGCCUCUCCGCCCCUUCUCCCUACCCCAUCCCCACCUUGAAUC